rnacentral:ncRNA from 2 species
AUAGUGGAAGCGGCGACAGGUGCCCCGAAUGGGGAGAAUAGGGAAUCAGGUGAAAAUCCUGAGCGGUCCCGCCACUGUGAGCAGGGACGAACCCGAAAAAGCCACUGGGCUGGUCCACCAGUCUGGGAAGGUUCGGGGGAGGAUGACUGCGAGCCAGGAGACCUGCCUGUCGGCCUGAUUACUG